GAUGAACGCUAGCGGCAGGCCUAACACAUGCAAGUCGAGGGGUAUUAGGAGCUUGCUCCUAAGAGACCGGCGCACGGGUGCGUAACGCGUAUGCAAUCUACCUUUUACAGGGGAAUAGCCCAGAGAAAUUUGGAUUAAUGCCCCAUAGUAUAUGUUAUUCGCAUGUUUGACAUAUUAAAGUUCCAACGGUAAAAGAUGAGCAUGCGUCCCAUUAGUUAGUUGGUAAGGUAACGGCUUACCAAGACGAUGAUGGGUAGGGGUCCUGAGAGGGAGAUCCCCCACACUGGUACUGAGACACGGACCAGACUCCUACGGGAGGCAGCAGUGAGGAAUAUUGGACAAUGGGCGCAAGCCUGAUCCAGCCAUGCCGCGUGCAGGAAGAAGCAUCUAUGGUGUGUAAACUGCUUUUGUACGGGAAGAAACACUCCCUCGUGAGGGAGCUUGACGGUACCGUAAGAAUAAGGAUCGGCUAACUCCGUGCCAGCAGCCGCGGUAAUACGGAGGAUCCAAGCGUUAUCCGGAAUCAUUGGGUUUAAAGGGUCCGUAGGCGGUUUAAUAAGUCAGUGGUGAAAUCUGGUCGCUCAACGAUCAAACGGCUAUUGAUACUGUUAGACUUGAAUUACAAGGAAGUAACUAGAAUAUGUAGUGUAGCGGUGAAAUGCUUAGAUAUUACAUGGAAUACCAAUUGCGAAGGCAGGUUACUACUUGUGGAUUGACGCUGAUGGACGAAAGCGUGGGGAGCGAACAGGAUUAGAUACCCUGGUAGUCCACGCCGUAAACGAUGGAUACUAGCUGUUGGGGGCAACUUCAGUGGCUAAGCGAAAGUGAUAAGUAUCCCACCUGGGGAGUACGUUCGCAAGAAUG
rnacentral:rRNA from 1 species